rnacentral:misc_RNA from 1 species
GAUGAGAUUCCAUGCUCCAAUUUACGGAAAGUCAAUAUCUAUAUUUUAUAUUUUCUUAUUUAGUUGUGUAGCAUAAUUUUAGGGAUUUAAUUCUUUUCCUAUUUGAGUUUUGUGUGUGUGUGUGUGUGCAGUGCCUGAGCUGAAGAUGCUGCAAGAGGUUGGUUAGUAGUGAGUCAGUCAAACAAGAGUAAUUUGCUGAAAAACAUCACAUACACACUUAUUUUUGGCUUGGUUUGUUGCUUAGUGCCGGAGAUUUUUUUUCUUUUACCUUCCGGAGGA